rnacentral:lncRNA from 1 species
UAGGGUGGGUGUAAUGACCAUGAGAAAGUUUAACAUUCUCAUGGUUUCUUACAUUCCACACACUUACAUGGUCAGGUGGGUGUGCAUCCAAACUAGAUGGCACACUCUGCUUAAAGAAGGUUUCUUUAAAAUGCGUGCUGGUUCUCUUUGAUCUUAGUGGCACUAACCACAAAAGGCAAUAGCAUAAAAGAAUGGAACUAUCACUAUCACUGCAGACGUUAUAUAUGUUAGUGACUUUUAUUCACAGGGCUGCUCCCUUUCUGUCUCUUCUUUUACAGCAUGCUUUACCAUUUAUUUGACAUCAUGCAUUUUUCUCAAACAAUGUAUACGGUGUGGUUAGAGGCUGUUUGUCAGGCCCUGGUGAAAUUAUUAAAGGGCCCCUCACCAGUCCACAUAGGAAAUCUUGGUUAUAUGCUGGAAAUUGUUACGUGCCCUCUAGGGAGUGUUCUACC